UAACUCGUGCGCGUAAUUUUUGGUAGCCGGGAAUGGCGUUCGCGCCGUCCCGACAUUUAAAAUAAAUAUUGAAAAGAAAACGCUUAGUUUUAGUUAAUAAUUAGAUUGAUGAAGUAGUUAGUGUGGAAGUUAAUUUAAACAAAUGUCUUUACCACUAACAGCUAGUUUGCGCUUUUCCCAAUCAUCGAUCAUUGAAAGGGAAAAAGAGGAGGGGUUUUUACGAAAUCCCUCAACAUCCCCAUUCCAUUCAUCCAUCCAUUAACUGCCUUGGUCUUUUUUGCUCCUCCUUGGCCAAACCAAACGUAACCGGUCCAGCCUCCUUUUUCGCGCUUCCUUAUUUAUUUAUCAUCAUUUAUUAAACGCUCUCGCUUGCCUGCCAAGAAAGGAGUCAGUCGUCGUCGUCGGUCCGAGUUCGGCACAAAAAAUUGUCGCUGUCAGAUUACGUUGCAAUAUUGCUUCCAGUUGCCAUAUCCUGCCGACUUUCCGCCCAAAUUCACGCUGCGAAGGACGAGAGAAACGUGAAAUCGAAGGGUCGGGCGGGGGUCGUCCCCUCCCAAUUCUCUUGGCUUUGACACAAGCAACAAUUUACUCGGUUUCAGACACACCGAACAGGGGCGCACACACACACCCUCGCAGUGGGAAAGACAAAUACAGAUGUACCAACAGCAGCAUCCCCCGUCAGAAGACCAGGGCACAACAUUCCUGGGUAGGAAUAUUUCCGAGCUUUAAUGAGGUUGGGCCACCAACCAAUGAGUCCUUCGCAGGGGGAGGACGACCUGCUUUCCGCCCAACGUCCCCUUAACUUUUUCGCCCGGGAAGAGUCUAUUGCGGAAGUAAAUGAAAAUUUGAUUUGGAAUUUCGUGUGUCCUGGUCGUGCGUGCGUGCGUUACAGGAUCUCAGCCCAAACCAAUGAACCCAAACCGAACGAAUCCCCGAACGACGCGGAUGAUGAUGUUGAUGACGACGUCAAAGUCGAAGAUGGGCAUGUGAUAAAAUAAAUUACGGGCAGAUUAGUGCGAAUUUAA
rnacentral:sRNA from 1 species